UGGGGAAUUUUGGCCAAUGGGGGAAAGCCUGAUCCAGCAAUGCCGCGUGUGCGAAGAAGGCCUUCGGGUUGUAAAGCACUUUUGUCCGGAAAGAAAUCCGUUCGGCUAAUACCCGGAUGGGAUGACGGUACCGGAAGAAUAAGCACCGGCUAACUACGUGCCAGCAGCCGCGGUAAUACGUAGGGUGCAAGCGUUAAUCGGAAUUACUGGGCGUAAAGCGUGCGCAGGCGGCUAUGCAAGACAGGUGUGAAAUCCCCGGGCUUAACCUGGGAACUGCACUUGUGACUGCAUGGCUAGAGUGCGUCAGAGGGAGGUGGAAUUCCGCGUGUAGCAGUGAAAUGCGUAGAGAUGCGGAGGAACGCCGGCGGCGAAAGCGACUCUCUGGUCCGAAACUGACGCUGAGUGUGCGAAAGCUAGGGGAGCAAACGGGAUUAGAUACCCCGGUAGUCCUAGCCGUAAACGAUGGGCACUAAGUAGAGGGGUUUUGAUUAUUUCUCUGCCGGAGCUAACGCAUUAAGUGCCCCGCCUGGGGAGUACGGCCGCAAGGCUAAAACUCAAAAGAAUUGACGGGGGCUCGCACAAGCGGUGGAGCAUGUGGCUUAAUUCGAUGCAACGCGAAGAACCUUACCGGGGCUUGACAUGGUAGAAGUAGAAUCCUGAAAGGGUGACGAUCGGUAUCCAGUCCGAAGCUAUCACAGGUGUUGCAUGGCUGUCGUCAGCUCGUGUCGUGAGACGUUGGGUUAAGUCCCCUAACGAGCGAAACCCUUGUCUUUAGUUGCUAACGGGUAAUGCUGAGCACUUUAGAGAGACUGCCGUCGUUAAGACGGAGGAAGGUGGGGACGACGUCAAGUCAUCAUGGCCCUUAUGUCCCGGGCUGCACACGUGCUACAAUGGUCGGUACAAAGGGAUGCUAAGUCGCGAGAUGGUGCGAAACCUAUAAAGCCGAUCUCAGUUCAGAUUGGAGGCUGAAACUCGCCUCCAUGAAGUUGGAAUCGCUAGUAAUCGCGGAUCAGCUACGCCGCGGUGAAUAUGUUCCCGAGCCUU
rnacentral:rRNA from 1 species